GAUGAACGCUGGCGGCGUGCUUAACACAUGCAAGUCGAACGAGAAGUGAAGACGGAAACCUUCGGGCGGAAGGCUUUAUUUCGAGUGGCGGACGGGUGAGUAACGCGUGGGUAACCUGCCUCAUACAGGGGGAUAACAGUUGGAAACGACUGUUAAUACCGCAUAAGACCACAGCACCGCAUGGUGCGGGGGUAAAAACUCCGGUGGUAUGAGAUGGACCCGCGUUCGAUUAGCCAGUUGGCGGGGUAACGGCCCACCAAAGCGACGAUCGAUAGCCGAUCUGAGAGGAUGACCGGCCACAUUGGGACUGAGACACGGCCCAAACUCCUACGGGAGGCAGCAGUGGGGAAUAUUGCACAAUGGGGGAAACCCUGAUGCAGCGACGCCGCGUGAGUGAAGAAGUAUUUCGGUAUGUAAAGCUCCAUCAGCAGGGAAGAAAAUGACGGUACCUGAGUAAGAAGCCCCGGCUAACUACGUG
rnacentral:rRNA from 1 species